GCCCGGUUAGCUCAAUCGGUAGAGCGUGAGACUCUUACAGAGUACACAAAUCUCAAGGCUGCGGGUUCGACCCCCGCAUUGGGCU
rnacentral:tRNA from 1 species